CGUCACAGGAAGUGCUCAGAACGUUCAUAAAAGCCGCUGCUGGGACUUUUGUCUCAUUACGAACAUAACAGCAGAAGCUUCAGCUCAGUGGAAAGCGCAACAGAACAAACGCCGACAGAACCACUCUUUGAUUUAUUAUUCUGAAUGUUUUUCUGAUUUGUAUUUAGAUAGAAUUGUCUUGUGGUAUAUUUUAGGUGACUUUUCGACACAUUUGCUUGUUUUCCGUCGACGUUUUCCCAUCGAGGUCCUCAAGCUACAGACUGCCUGAUUUUGGCUUAAUCUGAACAAUGGCCAAAGAAGCUCAGCUGCAUGUGGACAUGGCCCAUACUCGUCAAAAUGAAGGAAUCAAUGUGAUUUUUGACCACAACACCCCUGCCUCUGCCCGCUCUCGCUCCAGAAGCAUUGUCAGUUCAUCUUACUCAAGUGCUGACAAAAAACGAGUCCCGCUCGUAUCCUCGCUGCAGGAGACGAUCCUCACGCUGCAGAUGUGCUGACCACCACAGAUAUGGCCGCAGUUAUUAUCGCAGAUCCCCAUCACGCUACCACUCUCGCUCCUCUAGCCGUUCCCCCUCAUCUGAUAGGUCAUCCUAUCGUAGACACCACAGGUCUCACCGCAGAUCCACCUCCAGGUCCCAGUCUAGAUCUCUCACUCAAUGGCGUAGGUACAGGAGAUCUGGAAACCAAUACAGACAUAAAGAUUAUUCAUCGAGAUCCCAUAGGAGCAGGUCGAGAUCCAGGUCUGCUGGGCGUUCCACCAGUCUAACUGUGCAAGAUGAACACAUCAGGGUGUUGAAUUUGGAACUUCGAGAGAGUGUGAAACCAAUUCUGUCCGAGUCCAACGAGUCUUCACCAGAGCCAUAUACAUGGGUGAGGGUGACGCCGAGUCCAGAAAAAGAAGCACUACAGAUAACAUGACAGUGGUCUCCUUUCUUCGACACCUGGGAAUAAAGGGCUGUCAUGUGACUUGGUGACGACA
rnacentral:lncRNA from 1 species